rnacentral:rRNA from 1 species
UACGUAGGGGGCAAGCGUUGUCCGGAUUUAUUGGGCGUAAAGAGCGUGUAGGCGGUUUGGUAGGUCCGUUGUUAAAACUCGAGGCUCAACCUCGAGACGCCGAUGGAAACCAUCAGACUAGAGUCCGGAAGAGGAGAGUGGAAUUCCUGGUGUAGCGGUGAAAUGCGCAGAUAUCAGGAAGAACACCCGUGGCUAAGGCGGCUCUCUAGUACGGUACUGACGCUGAGACGCGAAAGCGUGGGGAGCGAACAGG